rnacentral:rRNA from 1 species
AACGAACGCUGGCGGCGUGGAUAAGACAUGCAAGUCGAACGCUUGUUCAGGUGUAGCAAUACAUUUGAGCAGGAGUGGCGCAAGGGUGCGUAACACGUGGGUAAUUUGCCAUGAAGUUUGGAAUAACUCGCUGAAAGGCGAGCUAAUACCGGAUACGACAAUCGGAAAGCAUUUUCUGAUUUUCAAAGUUGGGGAUCGUAAGACCUGACGCUUUAUGAUAAGCCCGCGGCCUAUCAGCUAGUUGGUGAGGUAAUGGCUCACCAAGGCUAAGACGGGUAGCUGGUCUGAGAGGACGACCAGCCACACUGGAACUGAGACACGGUCCAGACACCUACGGGUGGCAGCAGUCGAGAAUUUUUCUCAAUGGGGAAACCCUGGAAGAGCGACGCCGCGUGGAGGAUGAAGGUCUUCGGAUUGUAAACUCCUGUCAUUGGUGAACAAGAUUCUGCCGUUAACUGCGGUGGAAUUUGAUAGUAGCCGAAGAGGAAGGGAC